rnacentral:rRNA from 1 species
GAUCAUGGCUCAGGACGAACGCUGGCGGCGUGCUUAACACAUGCAAGUCGAACGUGAUUUUUAUGGAAGAACCUUCGGGGACGGAAAUGAAAUGAAAGUGGCGAACGGGUGAGUAACACGUGAGCAACCUACCUUACACAGGGGGAUAGCCGUUGGAAACGACGAUUAAUACCGCAUGAGACCACAAUACUGCAUGGUAUAGGGGUCAAAGAUUUAUCGGUGUAAGAUGGGCCCGCGUCUGAUUAG